CACGUAGGGGGCAAGCGUUGUCCGGAUUUAUUGGGCGUAAAGAGCUCGUAGGCGGCUUAGUAAGUCGGGUGUGAAACCUCCAGGCUCAACCUGGAGACGCCACCCGAUACUGCUGUGGCUAGAGUCCGGUAGGGGAGCGUGGAAUUCCUGGUGUAGCGGUGAAAUGCGCAGAUAUCAGGAGGAACACCAGCGGCGAAGGCGGCGCUCUGGGCCGGUACUGACGCUGAGGAGCGAAAGCGUGGGGAGCAACAGG
rnacentral:rRNA from 1 species